rnacentral:tRNA from 1 species
GGCCCUGUGGCCUAAUGGAUAGGGCGUCUGACUUCGGAUCAGAAGAUUGCGGGUUCAAGUCCCGCCAGGGUCG